rnacentral:rRNA from 1 species
UCAUUGGAGAGUUUGAUCCUGGCUCAGGACGAACGCUGGCGGCGUGCUUAACACAUGCAAGUCGAACGG